GAUAGAACAACAUUAGGCCCUGCUCCCUGGGCUUCCCCCCUCGGAUGUUACCGUCUGAUGGGGGGGAGAAGAAUGACGCUCUGUGCAAACCCCUGCAUGAAACCAUUCAUAGCACCUCGGCCCCAGCCUCGCUGGGAGAGAGCCGGCAGCAACUGGCCUACAGUGGGUAGAACAGAACCGGUACUGAUGCGGUCCCUGCCGUCCCAAACACCACACAACACCAUUAUUGAUCUACGCUCGCUGGACAGGACGGUCCCGCCGAGAGAAUGCGGCUACUGAUUCAGCGGGAUCCCCCGCUUGCCCGCGCGGACAACGCCACCUCUGAUUCGAAAACCUGGAGCCGGGACGUUUGCAGAAGUCAGUCGGACUCAGGGUUGGCUAGGUCUACAGCUGCACAGGUAAGGAAAACCUGGCGUUGGCGGAGACAUUGAAGUGGUGUGCGUCCCUGCUGAUAUGAUCUGACAAGCUGCUCAAGUACUGGAUCUGUUCAAAAGCUUUCCUUCUUGAAAAUGCCGAGAGCCAAGGAACCCGGAGCCAUCCAGCCUCCGUUUCUCACAGCCUCUCUGUUUCCUCACACUCUCUACAUAAACAACCACCAACAGCCUCCUCUUCACCUAUAGACGCACAGGUGGAGCUGACGGAGGGUUUGGCAGACGGCCUGCCGCCGAAAAACAGGCCUUCCCCUAUCUCUACCUGAGAACACAACGCACCGAAGAGAAGAGCCAAUGAAUGAGAGACACCAUCCAACGCUGACCAAUCACUGCUCCGCUCCUAACAGCAUCCCAGGGACGACUAAGGAACGCAGGAACAGAGAUGGAGGUUUCACUCGGUCAGCUUAUAUCCUCCUAAAACAGACAAGUUGUGCUGAC
ensembl:lncRNA